rnacentral:rRNA from 1 species
CCUACGGGUGGCAGCAGUGGGGAAUAUUGGACAAUGGGGGGAACCCUGAUCCAGCCAUGCCGCGUGUGUGAAGAAGGCCCUCGGGUUGUAAAGCACUUUCAGUGAGGAAGAACGCCUGGUGGUUAAUACCCAUCAGGAAAGACAUCACUCACAGAAGAAGCACCGGCUAACUCCGUGCCAGCAGCCGCGGUAAUACGGAGGGUGCGAGCGUUAAUCGGAAUUACUGGGCGGAAAGCGCGCGUAGGUGGCUUGAUAAGCCGGUUGUGAAAGCCCCGGGCUCAACCUGGGAACGGCAUCCGGAACUGUCAAGCUAGAGUGCAGGAGAGGAAGGUAGAAUUCCAGGUGUAGCGGUGAAAUGCGUAGAGAUCGGGAGGAAUACCAGUGGCGAAGGCGGCCUUCUGGACUGACACUGACACUGAGGUGCGAAAGCGUGGGUAGCAAACAGGAUUAGAUACCCCAGUAGUC